AUAAAAUAUAGAUGACUUUAUAAACUGCUUAAAAUACUCUAUAAAGGCCAAGGCACACAACCAAGACAUUGACGACUUGAAAAAAAAUGAGAAAAAGGCAUUUUGUAAAUUGCCAACGAACAGAAUAGAGACCUGGUUAUGUCAUUUCUUCAGUUGGUGACAGCUGGAAUAAUGAGGUGUUAGCUUGUCUAUUUGGUAUGCAUUCUAACCUUUCCCUUGCUCUCCACAUUUCUCUCUCUCUACCCCGGGGCUGUUUUAGGAAAGUAGACACCAUUUCACUUAUACAGGGUCCAUUUCCCUAGAGCCAUUGCCCUCUUAUGACAACUGAAAUUGUUAUCGGGAGGAAUCUGGUGAAAUAUUGAGCCGUAGACGGUUUGCACAGUGCAGGAGAGAUGGAGAGCCAGGAACUGCAGUCUGGUCAUAUCGAUUUCAUCUAAGUCUUGCAGCUGGACCCCAGAUGUUGGACCACUGAGACACAGCUGCUGUAUUCUCUGCCUGAGAAAUUUUUUAAUGAUGAGCCCAGGGGCGGAUUCCCCAGAUGAUCUGCUGCUCACUACACUCAUGCUCAACACGAACCGAAGGUCACUUGAUAGAGAGACAAGAAAGAAGAGGAAUGAAGGAAAGUCUCUACAUCCAUAAGUCUGGCUAAAUCCUCUCCAUCUCUAUUUCAUUCGUAGUCUUGCAAAGCCAUGCUUUUUAAAGUCUGGUUCACAGACUGCAUCAUAUUCUAGACACUUAGAGAGGAAGAGACCUGUCUAGACAAAAUGUAAAGGGAUCAACCAUAGACUGUUUUAUUUUUAUAUACCAUUUAGGGAAAUAGGGAUUAUUUCUGUAAAUUUGUUCUAUAGUUUUAAUUUUUAUUUUCAUGAACUAUAAUAA
ensembl:lncRNA